rnacentral:rRNA from 1 species
GACGUAGGGGGCAAGCGUUGUCCGGAAUUAUUGGGCGUAAAGAGCUCGUAGGUGGUUUGUCGCGUUGUCCGUGAAAACUCACAACUCAAUUGUGGGCGUGCGGGCGAUACGGGCAGACUGGAGUACUGCAGGGGAGACUGGAAUUCCUGGUGUAGCGGUGGAAUGCGCAGAUAUCAGGAGGAACACCGGUGGCGAAGGCGGGUCUCUGGGCAGUAACUGACGCUGAGGAGCGAAAGCGUGGGGAGCGAACAGG